AUUGAACGCUGGCGGCAGGCCUAACACAUGCGAGUCGAGCGGAUGAAGGGAGCUUGCUCCUGGAUUCAGCGGCGGACGGGUGAGUAAUGCCUAGGAAUCUGCCUGGUAGUGGGGGAUAACGUCCGGAAGCGGGCGCUAAUACCGCAUACGUCCUGAGGGAGAAAGUGGGGGAUCUUCGGACCUCACGUUAUCAGAUGAGCCUAGGUCGGAUUAGCUAGUUGGUGGGGUAAAGGCCUACCAAGGCGACGAUCCGUAACUGGUCUGAGAGGAUGAUCAGUCACACUGGAACUGAGACACGGUCCAGACUCCUACGGGAGGCAGCAGUGGGGAAUAUUGGACAAUGGGCGAAAGCCUGAUCCAGCCAUGCCGCGUGUGUGAAGAAGGUCUUCGGAUUGUAAAGCACUUUAAGUUGGGAGGAAGGGCAGUAAGUUAAUACCUUGCUGUUUUGACGUUACCAACAGAAUAAGCACCGGCUAACUUCGUG
rnacentral:rRNA from 1 species